GUGAGGAAUAUUGGUCAAUGGGCGGGAGCCUGAACCAGCCAAGUCGCGUGAAGGAAGAAGGAUCUAUGGUUCGUAAACUUCUUUUGCAGGGGAAUAAAGUGCAGGACGUGUCCUGUUUUGUAUGUACCCUGAGAAUAAGGAUCGGCUAACUCCGUGCCAGCAGCCGCGGUAAUACGGAGGAUCCGAGCGUUAUCCGGAUUUAUUGGGUUUAAAGGGUGCGUAGGUGGUUUGAUAAGUCAGCGGUGAAAGUUUGCUGCUUAGCUGUAAACAUGCCGUUGAAACUGUCGGACUUGAGUGUAAAUGAGGUAGGCGGAAUGCGUGGUGUAGCGGUGAAAUGCAUAGAUAACACGCAGAACUCCGAUUGCGAAGGCAGCUUACUAAGCUACACCUGACACUGAAGCACGAAAGCGUGGGGAUCAAACAGGAUUAGAUACCCUUGUAGUCC
rnacentral:rRNA from 1 species